rnacentral:rRNA from 1 species
UACGUAGGUGGCAAGCGUUGUCCGGAUUUACUGGGCGUAAAGGGCGUGCAGGCGGUUUGUUAAGUCUAGGGUGAAAGCUCCCGGCUCAACUGGGAGAGGUCCUUGGAUACUGGCAGACUUGAGGAGGGUAGAGGAGAGUGGAAUUCCCAGUGUAGCGGUGAAAUGCGUAGAUAUGACACAGAACACCGAUUGCGUAGGCAGCUCACUAAACUGUAACUGACGCUGAGGCACGAAAGCGUGGGGAGCAAACAGG